rnacentral:lncRNA from 1 species
GUCCAAGGAGGGACAUACACCCACAUGCACUGGCCACUCCUCUCCAUGCUACCACACUCCUGCUUAGAGCUGCACAGCAUCACAAAGCAAGCGCCCAGCAGCCCAGCGUGCGCUUUGCAGGAGCCGCCCUCCCUCUCCUCCCGCAGGGUCUCAAAGGCCGUUCUGAAUGUUUGACUCCCCUGCCUCAGCCGUGAAGUACUGAUGUUACAGGCAGGCACUACCACGCUCAGUGUCUCUGCUGCUGGGGCUGAGGUACCCCAGCAAGACAGCCCUAAAAUGCUAAAACUCAAGUUGCCUUUUAUUCUAUAGCCAGUGAAAAUCAGUUUAAAAAUGAAGGCGACAUCAAGCACUGGGAGUUGUAAAGCGGAGAGGCCUGGAUCCUAGCAGGUCCCCAGCCAUGGGCACGCUAAUGAAGCCCCCAGGCCCCGGGACUGCCCCAGCAAGAGCCCGGAUGAGAGAGAAGGAAGCACACGAGAAGAGCAAGUACGCAGGAAACUAUCUAAGACUACUCUCUGCUAAAAUUCUUCAAAGCAAGGCCACUGUGUGUGUGUGCAUGGUUUGCAGAUGAAUCUGUCUGUGUGCCAGAGGCCGAUGCAGGGAGGCCUCUGCCUUAUCUGUGCAGCCAGAGCUGUUCCCCGAGCUCACAUUUGUGUUUGGUUGGCCUGUGACCUCCUAGGAUCCCUUCCUUCUACGUGGUGUGGAGGAUCUCAGGUCAGGUCAGGCUUGUCACAGGCCCUUUUCCAUGGAGGCCAUUUUUAAGACUUUCAGAGACUUUAAAGUUUGCUGUGAUUCUGUAAUUUUCAUAAAUCUAAAGUAAAUGUAAGACACUCAAAGUUCUGAUAACCCAUGGAAAAUUAUUUCAGUGCUUUAAAAUUUUAAUUAAAAAAAAUGUUUCUCUGAACUUUGGAUGCCUGUCACUAGUGUCAAACUGCACACAGAGCUUAAAAAUUUCUACUUUAUCAUUAACAUUGCCAGAGCAAGACAUAGCAACUCCAUUUUGGUAAGUUUCACACUAGUGCUUAAACACACAGGCAAUCCAACCAGCACCAGCAGGCUUCCAGCCAAAAUCUGUCUCCUGGGGUUUUUUGGCCUGAAACCUCCCAGUGCUGAAACUGGGCAAACUGUGAUGACACUGGCUCUCCUAACUGGGACCCAGACUGAAGUCCUAAGGACAGAAGUGGCCCCAAGGGCAGCUGUGCUAUAGGCACGCCAAGGAAAGGCAAGAACUACAUAAAGCUCAUCUUCCUGAAACUCAGGGUGCCCUUUAAGGGAAGGGAGAUUCUCAUCUCUUCCUUCUCCCUCACUGUGUCUAGAAAAGACCAAGACAGUCUGUCCUGGGGGAGGAACCACGUCGCAAAGGCACAAAUACAGAAACAGGAACAUCGUUUUGGCUGGCAGUUUUGUCACAGUGGCUUGUGGAAUUCUUCCUGAGGAGCAUGACUCGCUGACCCUUCACCCACUUGGCUGGCCCAGAGGGUGGCAGGGCGAUGGACUCACUGUGCCUACUUAAUUCUCACCCUUACCCGUUAACCACCCAUUAUUAGCUUGGCGUUACUUAGAACAAAACUGAGACUCAGUAAGGUCAAGCCACAGGCCUAAGAUCCUUUGCUUACUCACUAGCAGGCCCAGUGUUUAGUUCCAUGGGUGCUGUAUUUCAAGCUCAUGCUCAGUACCCGGGCACAGCCCCCAAAGCCUAGUGCAAACGUCUUACAUGUGUGUGCCCUGUCAGAAGAGGUAAAGGACAGAGGUGAAGCAGAGGCAGAAUCAGACAGGAUCCAGGGGCAGCAUUUCUGCCUCUGGAAGCAAUCUAGGGAGACAGGUAGGACCUCAGAUCAAACUAUCCUCCAAACAUGUUUUGGAAACACACUGGGGAGGCUGGAGAGGGGGUUAGAAAGCCAGUGAAUGGUUCAGAUGUCUCAAGGUUUCUCUUGAGAACCAUCAGAAGGCCCAGGGCAGGAGUUUUAUGACACCUGGAGGCCCAGUCUCAUAAGUAAAGCAAAGCAAAGCAAAACAAACACACACACACACACGAGCAAUCUCUUAACUCCCUGAGGGUCUUCAUGUGUAGAUACACUAAUGCCUUGAGGAUGUGGACAGGAAGCUCCGAGCCUCAGUUGCUCUGAGCCUGCAUAGUUGUGGUUUCAAAAUUGUGUUUCCCCAAAAGUCUCAUGUGCUGGAGGUUGGAGUCCCUUGCUGGUAGCACGAUUUUGGUAGAUUCUGAAAGUUUCAGGAGGAGGGGCCUGGCUUGAGGGAGUAAAUGAGCCUUGGGUUACAUUCAGCUCACUGGUCCUUUCCUGUUUACCUGCUUCUGACUGCUGUAAAGUGGGCAGCUUCCGACACAUCGGUGCAGCCAAGGACUACGGACUCUACAGACUGCAAUCUCUGAAGUAAGCCUUUUCUCCUUUAAGCUGCUUCUGUCUGGUAGCCUGCCACAGCGCCAACUCUGACGUACGCGUUUACUACAUGGAGACAAUCACCUGGCUAUCCCAUCCAGUUGCUCGGAGUUAAAACAGUCUGACUGUGUAUGGUACUUAGAAUAAUGUCUAAGUGAAGGAAGCAUUGAACAGGAGCAAUCAACAGUGAACAGCAAACACAUUUUGUUUAUAACCUAUAUUUGUCUCUGAAAAAAGGUUUUGAGAGCUCUGAGACGCCUGCUCUGUCACCUACACACCAGUCCCUGGCUCCUUUCUCUACUACACUCGUGAUGCUCUCUUUCAUUUAAACGUGGCACUCUACAUAUUUGUUCUAAAUUAGGUCAUGCCCUCCCCAGAGGGCAUCCAAUGAGGUAAAGCAUUCAAGUGACCCCGAGGACAUGGCAAUGUAGUCUGGGGUAGGGUCACCAGUAUGGCUGGUCCUUGAACAGCCAGCUCCUUCUCUCUUUUUAAAGGAUGAGCUCGCAUAGUCAUCAUGGUCCCCUAGGGAUGCACCUCUUAUUUGUGGUGUCCUCUGCUGUGGGUCCCCACUUGCUUGGCUGUAGACUCUUGCUCCUAUGCUUCUGUGUUGCUUUCCCUUCCAUGCCAGUCUUAGCUGACAAGGCUCUGGCUGUCCUCAUGUUGUCCAGGCUCUUUGCCCAGUGAGGGACCCACAGGAUAUUUUCCAGGCAAGCAUAAAGGGUAACCACUAGAGCAUCUUCUCCAGGGAUUGCCCAGAGCAGCCUUUGUGCUGCAUGCUUUUAGGGAAGAGAUGCUGAUGUACGAAGAAGGAGACCAGUGGCUGCUCUUACCUGGUCAGUUGUGGCUGCUGGUGGCAAACCUGGAGAGUGUGAGAUCAUACGGAGAGAGGCCUCCAGUUGUUGGGGAGGCAAAAAGAAGUUGGGCACCACAACAGGUUCUGGGCUGCAAUGGUAGUUAAGGAAUAAAAUACCUAGAAGUCUACUCUCCUACCAGACCAACACCCCAGGGACCACAGUCAUACCAUCUGUGUCUCCCUCAUCCUACUCCCCCCAUCCAUGAAUCCCUGGCACAAGUGGUUCCUCCUGGUUCCUCCCUCACUGGAAAACCCUGCCCACUUCUAACCCGUCUUUCCUCCUUCCUUUCCCUCUCUUUCUUUAGUCUCUACUGUAAUGAGUUCACAUCCCAACCUCCUCCAGGAAGACUUUUCCUAUCUUAGUCACAUAGUCCCCCUUUCUUUAAUUCUGAAAGCAGUCUGUGACACAGGAGAAUGUUCAAUUAUUAAAACAUUUUUUCAAAUUAUC